AUGAGUAAUCUCUUAAUCCUAAGAACUGGGAUUCCUGUGUGUCCUUUGGUUUCAGACCAAAGAGGGAAGGCUCAGAAGGAAUCCAUCGUGUCAAGGUCUCAUCUAUUAGAUUUCAUCUCCUCAAUGGCUCUUUGUGCAGCGGCCUCCUGUGAAGGUUCUGACCAAGCUGAGACAACCACGGUCAAGGUCAUUGCUGACUCCAGCAAUGCAAAGCACAACCCAGGACAGAGCUACAGCUGCAAACUCCAGUCAGCGAUCCCACAUCUCAGAAGGGAAGCAAGAUGCAUGUCCCAUCCCCAUACUGUGAGUGGAGGUCUCCCACGCCACUGGACAAUGGUCUUCCAGGCACGGGUAUCCUGUCUGGGAGGUAAUUGUGAGUUAUGA
rnacentral:lncRNA from 1 species